UGAGUAGGACAGAUGGUCGCGGCUGCAAUGCCGAAAGGCAGCAGGUGAGGAAAGUCCGGGCUUCACAGGGCAGAAUGCCGGAUAACGUCCGGUGGAGGUGACUCCAAGGCUAGUGCAACAGAAAUAAACCGCCGAUGAAACAGCAAACCUGUUUGCUGUUUCAUUUGGUAAGGGUGGAAAGGCAGUGCAAGAGACUACCGCCCUGUUGGUAACAGCAGGGGCACAUGUAAACCCCAUUCGAAGCAAGACCGAACAGAAAGCGAUACGGCUGCCCGUCGUGCUUUCGGGUAGGUUGCUUGAGCCUGCUGGCAACAGCGGGACUAGAUAGAUGACCAUCAAAAACAUAACCCGGCUUAUAGUCCUGCUCAUAUU
rnacentral:RNase_P_RNA from 1 species